rnacentral:rRNA from 1 species
CCUACGGGUGGCAGCAGUGAGGAAUAUUGGGCAAUGGGCGCGAGCCUGAACGAGCAAAGUCGCGUGAGGGAUGAAGGUUCUAUGGAUGGUAAACCUCUUUUAUAAGGGAAUAAAGUGUGGGACGUGUCAUAUUUUGUAUGUACCUUAUGAAUAAGGAUCGGCUAACUCCGUGCCAGCAGCCGCGGUAAUACGGAGGAUCCGAGCGUUAUCCGGAUUUAUUGGGUUUAAAGGGUGCGUAGGCGGCCUUUUAAGUCAGCGGUGAAAGGCUGUGGCUCAACCACAGAAUUGCCGUUGAAACUGGAGAGCUUGAGUAUGUUUGAGGCAGGCGGAAUGAGUGGUGUAGCGGUAAAAUGCUUAGAUAUCACGCAGAACCCCGAUUGCGAAGGCAGCCUGCCAAGCCAUGACUGACGCUGAUGCACGAAAGCGUGGGGAUCAAACAGGAUUAGAUACCCCAGUAGUC